GCAGUCGUGGCCGAGUGGUUAAGGCGUCUGACUUGAAAUCAGAUUCCCUCUGGGAGCGUAGGUUCGAGUCCUACCGACUGCG
rnacentral:tRNA from 1 species